UGCUGGGGACCAUGGAGUUCACGGCGUCGCCCAAGCCCCAACUCUCCUCCCGGGCCAACGCCUUCUCCAUUGCCGCGCUCAUGUCGAGCGGCGGCUCUAAGGAGAAGGAGGCGACGGAGAACACAAUCAAACCCCUGGAGCAAUUUGUGGAGAAGUCGUCCUGUGCCCAGCCCCUGGGUGAGCUGACCAGCCUGGAUGGUCAUGGGGAGUUUGGUGGAGGCGCUGGCAGCAGCCCGUCCUCCUCCUCUCUGUGCACUGAGCCGCUGAUUCCCACCACCCCCAUCAUCCCCAGUGAGGAAAUGGCCAAAAUCGCCUGCAGCCUGGAGACCAAGGAGCUUUGGGACAAAUUCCAUGAGCUGGGCACCGAGAUGAUCAUCACCAAGUCGGGCAGGAGGAUGUUUCCGACCAUCCGGGUGUCCUUUUCGGGGGUAGAUCCUGAGGCCAAGUACAUAGUCCUGAUGGACAUCGUCCCUGUGGACAACAAGAGGUACCGCUACGCCUACCACCGGUCCUCCUGGCUGGUGGCUGGCAAGGCCGACCCGCCGUUGCCAGCCAGGCUCUAUGUGCAUCCAGAUUCUCCUUUUACCGGUGAGCAACUACUCAAACAGAUGGUGUCUUUUGAAAAGGUGAAACUCACCAACAAUGAACUGGAUCAACAUGGCCAUAUAAUUUUGAACUCAAUGCAUAAGUACCAGCCAAGGGUGCACAUCAUUAAGAAGAAAGACCACACAGCCUCAUUGCUCAACCUGAAGUCUGAAGAAUUUAGAACUUUCAUCUUUCCAGAAACAGUUUUUACGGCAGUCACUGCCUACCAGAAUCAACUGAUAACGAAGCUGAAAAUAGACAGCAAUCCUUUUGCCAAAGGAUUCCGGGAUUCCUCCAGGCUCACUGACAUUGAGAGGUAA
rnacentral:sRNA from 1 species